UCUGUAUUUCUCUGUGUUGACCCGUGAUGGACUGUUGGACCGUAAAUUAUGUACCCUACUUCUUGCCCCUUGACGACUAGAUGUGUGGAUUAAAAAAGAAAAGGUAAAAGGCAGGAUUGAACCAGCUUCCCAAGCGGACGUCAUUGCUGAUGUAGAUGGCAUGGACCUCAAUUCUGCUGUCGAGUCGCUGAAGCAAGUACUUCACCUAGGACAGAACGAGAAGAUAAGCAAGAGCGCACUUACACGAAAGGAGCCAGCUAUGAGAGACCUUCUCAGAUUUCCUGGGUCUGCUGGGGAAUCCUAUUCCCAUGCGCUGCUUUUGGCAUGGAGGAAUCCGUAGCCGAGCCGACCUGCGCUGAGCCCGACUGACAAAACUCAAGCCUAUUACAAUGCUCAGUGAUCCCAGAUGACCAAUGGUCAGGUUCUUUCCAUCCCUCUCUUUGUGCUCGUCUGCCUCCUUCCCUCUCUGUGAUUGUGCUCUACUUGACAAGAUGAGGUUGUCUCUCUCCUGAGUUUCCUAGCUCAGCUUGCUCGAAUUUGUUCACUUUUGCUUCCUGCCUUACUUCCCUGGCUUCCUGAUAUCUCUCUAGAACCAUUUGUCAGCUCCUUGCUUAAGGUCAGAAGUGCAGUUUUGACUUUCUCAUUGACUGAAUAAAUUAAUGCUUUUGUUGCAGGCUACUUUUUGUAGCUUUUAGUUCUUCACUUUCACAGUUGUCACGAAACAUUAAAAAACAAUUACUUAAAUAUGCUGUAAAAACACCAUGUACGUGACAAGACACAAACUGCAGACCAUUUUUUUUAAAAUUCUGUGUCAAAGCAAACUGCUAUUAAAAUAUUGUAUAAGUUAUGCUGCUCACCAAUAGGCACAGUUUUUGACAAGGUUAUAAUGGAUCUUAGAGUAUACAUAGCCAUGGCUUAAUUAAAGUUUUUGUGUCUUGAAAAUAUGUAAUAAUUCAAAACUUUGACUGUAACCUUGAAUGAAACCUUGUAUUCUGUACAAUUCUACUGAAAAACAAGCAUAUGUGGUGGUGGAAGGAUGUGAAAAAAAGAACAUGCAAUAAAUAACUAGGAUGUUUUAUUUUUUUCCCCCAGUGUGUUCACAUUUGUUUCAGUAUUCAGGUUUUUUUGGAAGGAGUCUAUCAGCACGCCACAUUUUGACUAGCUAAUGUUGAAUUGCUCUAUCAUAAGGUUGUCUAAAUCUAUCAGCUUGUAGGCACAAGCAUUAUUCACAGUUUUCUUUAGGAAAUUCCAUUGAUUUUUUCGCUAGGCCACUCCAAAACUUUACUUGUCCUUGCUGAAAUCUACUUUUGUUGAUUUGAAUGUACACCCCAACUCACUGUGAUG